rnacentral:lncRNA from 1 species
AUAAUAAGCAUUAUCCCACAGUUCUGCCUUUUAAUGUGGCAUAGCCAUAUUUGCUUAUAAUUUUUAUUCUACACAUAUCACUGCUUCUCAGUGUGUACAUACUGGGGAAGGGGGUCAUUUUGACCCAGAAGGAUUUUUGAAUCAUCAAAUAUUUUCAAAUCGAAGGUUUUUCUAGUCUAGCUUCAUUCAGAUGAGCGUUGUGCAUCGAAGUUCAAGUCCCAAGAGAUGUUAUCAGUCGGAACGGCCGAGUGAACAAAUAUUUGUGAACCUCCUUCCAAAUGAAAUGUUCUAUAGAAGGGUGGAAGUGGUAAGAGACCGUUGAAACAGUGGUUAAGAAGGUUAUAUUUAUUUGGCCAUCAGCUCGUCUCAUGGUCUGAAGGAUGAUGAUGAUGAGGAAGAGGAGGAAGAAGAGAAGAUGAGGAACUUUUCCAAAAUAGGCAGUUUAACUCAUAAUAGACCCAAUUUCUAAAUACGAGGUUGGACUACGUCAUCUCUAAACGCAACCACUGGUCUGAAAAUAUGAGCUGUGUCAUAGAUACGGAGAACAAACAGGUGGUUGCCAAAGGAUGGGGGGAUUGGGCAAAAGAGGUGAAGGGGAUUCAGGGCCCCAAACUUCCAGUUAUAACAUAAAAAAGUCACAGAGAUAUAAUGUAAAGUCAGGGGGAAAUACAGUCAAUAUUGCAAUAACUGUGUAUGGUGGCCAAUGGUCCCCAGAUUUACAAGUGUGGGAAUCAACUUGGGUAAUGUACACAAAUGUCAAAUCACUAUACUGUACUCAAAACUCAUCUAAGCCACUACAUUCGUGGUAAACCACUAGUGUAAAACUAGUGCACACCACCACUACACUGCCGUAGUGGUUGAGUUUCAAUAAAAGUUAUGUGCAUCAACUCUAUUUCAACAAAAAAUUAAAAGUAACAAAACAAGGUAACAUUAAGAGAUUCGUUACACCUGGGCUUUAAUUUCCAAUUUUGGUUUAAUAUGUAUGACCUAACUUUAAAAAUCAGUUUACAGACAGACUAUCCUAAGGGCAAACAGUCCAACAAGACUUGCUCCAAUUCAAAGAAAAUCUUGAUAAGCAUUUUUUUUUCCUUUGUGGUUAUUAUAAAGUAUUUAAGUUCAAUUUUUAAAAAAUCCACUAUAUUUGAUUGUCAUUAUUUGAGUCAACAUGUUUCAAGUUAUGUUUCAGAGCACGGUUAGUUGAAACAGCCCAGAUCUUACUCAUCAAAAGACUUGGAAUAUUCACAGAAACUCUGUCACUCAUUAUUUCUCAGAGUUUAAAGAAGUUUAUGAACAUCACUGAGAAUCUGUCUUUUCAGUUUUGAAAGGGAAGUUAUAAUACUGACUUUGAAGUAUCUUGGCCAGUGAAAAAAACGCUACACAUAUAAGUUAUCAAGUGAAAUUAAAAGCUAAAGAAAUAAUAGCUACUAUAAAUAAAAACAUUCACAUUUGUUUAUUUGUGCUCAUUUGUCUUAAUGUUACCAAAAUUUAUUUUUAAAUGUUUUAUUUUAAGAUGUUAUGUUCCUACAUUCCUAAAUCUAUCUCCAUUUUACAUUUUGUUAGGGCUUGCAUGCUAUUUCUUUUUUUUUUUUAAUUAAAGUAUAGUUGAUUGAC